GACGAACGCUGGCGGCGUGCUUAACACAUGCAAGUCGAGCGGUAAGGCCCUUUCGGGGUACACGAGCGGCGAACGGGUGAGUAACACGUGGGUGACCUGCCCUCAGCUCUGGGAUAAGCCUGGGAAACCGGGUCUAAUACUGGAUAUGACUCCAUGACGCAUGUUGUGGGGUGGAAAGCCUUGUGCGGCUGAGGAUGGGCCCGCGGCCUAUCAGCUUGUUGGUGGGGAUGGCCUACCAAGGCGACGACGGGUAGCCGGCCUGAGAGGGCGACCGGCCACACUGGGACUGAGACACGGCCCAGACUCCUACGGGAGGCAGCAGUGGGGAAUCUUGCGCAAUGGGCGAAAGCCUGACGCAGCGACGCCGCGUGAGGGAUGACGGCCUGG
rnacentral:rRNA from 1 species